CAUGAAGUAAAGAUCUCAGCUGACCCACAAUGGACAUACAUUUCCUUAGAGUCUCAGGGAAGGCUUCUGGAAGAGGUGUAUUUUCAAGUGAAGAUACCGAGAGCCCAGUAUCACAGAGGAAGAAAGUACUGGUGGUGACACAGCAGGUAUUUUAGAAGUGGGGGCAGCUAUUUUAGACAGCUCUUUCCUAUGUUGUUCCUGUCACACCAUGAAGAUGCCGAUUUCGUCCACCCACAAGAAAGCUGCCUUGGUCCUGGUACUCAAGGGCUCUAUGUUGCCUCCAUCAUAUCCAGAAUUAAUUCCAAUAACAUGUUCUUGCAUUCUUCGUCAGCACAGCAAGGGAGCUAACUAAAAGGCAUGUUGGGAACACUGGAAUCAUUCAAUGUCUUAAACUACUCAGCCUUGAAAUACAUAUAAAAAUGAGUUAGAAUUCAAAAACUUUAAAAA